UACGGGGGGAGCAAGCGUUGUUCGGAUUUACUGGGCGUAAAGGGCGCGUAGGCGGCCACCGCAAGUCGACUGUGAAAUCUCCGGGCUUAACCCGGAAAGGUCAGCCGAUACUGCGGGGCUAGAGUGCAGAAGGGGGCAACUGGAAUUCUCGGUGUAGCGGUGAAAUGCGUAGAUAUCGAGAGGAACACCUGCGAGCGGAGGCG
rnacentral:rRNA from 1 species